rnacentral:rRNA from 1 species
AACGAACGCUGGCGGCAUGCCUAACACAUGCAAGUCGAACGAACCCUUCGGGGUUAGUGGCGCACGGGUGCGUAACGCGUGGGAAUCUGCCCUUGGGUUCGGAAUAACAGUUAGAAAUGACUGCUAAUACCGGAUGAUGUCUUCGGACCAAAGAUUUAUCGCCCAGGGAUGAGCCCGCGUAGGAUUAGGUAGUUGGUGGGGUAAAGGCCUACCAAGCCGACGAUCCUUAGCUGGUCUGAGAGGAUGAUCAGCCACACUGGGACUGAGACACGGCCCAGACUCCUACGGGAGGCAGCAGUGGGGAAUAUUGGACAAUGGGCGCAAGCCUGAUCCAGCAAUGCCGCGUGAGUGAUGAAGGCC